UAGUCCACGCCCUAAACGAUGUCAACUAGUUGUUGGGGAUUCAUUUCCUUAGUAACGUAGCUAACGCGUGAAGUUGACCGCCUGGGGAGUACGGUCGCAAGAUUAAAACUCAAAGGAAUUGACGGGGACCCGCACAAGCGGUGGAUGAUGUGGAUUAAUUCGAUGCAACGCGAAAAAACCUUACCUACCCUUGACAUGGUACGGAACCCUGCUGAAAGGUGGGGGUGCUCGAAAGAGAACCGGCGCACAGGUGCUGCAUGGCUGUCGUCAGCUCGUGUCGUGAGAUGUUGGGUUAAAGUCCCGCAACGAGCGCAACCCUUGUCCUAUUGUCUCGUACGAAAGGGCACUCUAACUAGGGAGACUGCCGGUGACAAACCGGAGGAAGGUGGGGAUGACGU
rnacentral:rRNA from 1 species